rnacentral:tRNA from 1 species
GCCCGGGUGGCGGAAUCGGCAGACGCGUUGGACUCAAAAUCCAAUGACCUUUUCGGUCAUGAGAGUUCGAGUCUCUCCCCGGGCA